ACAGGCAACCCGCGGCACAUUUACAAAAGUGACGGGGACACUGGGGACAGCAGGAAAGGUCAGGAUCCUGAAAGGAAGCCGGCUGGGCUGAGGACUGCAGAGGAACCAGGUGGCAGUAGUGUUUUAAAUUUAACCAGCUGGAGAGAAGUACCAUUUUGGGCAUGGGUAGCGCAUGGCUAUAAUCCCCAGGCUGGAGCAGGUCAGCCUGAGCUCCAUGUGCUUCACAGGCUUCCGUGUGCAGACAGCCACCGUUGGGACCAGCAGGUGCAGUAGAUCCGGAGUGGAGUCAGGGUUGGUUUCUAACAUGCUUCCAGUUAUAGGGAAGCCGAGUGCAGAAUGCUUUAGAGACUGUUCCUGCCUUCCUGUGGUUGGCCCUGCUUUUUACUCUAUGAAGAUGUGGAAAUGGACGCAGAUAACUGUGCUAUGUAUUAUUGACUUCCAGUAACACAGGUAAGGAGUUAAUGAAAUACUCUAUUUAUGAUAGGUUUGUGAUGAGUUUGCACAAUCGGCCGGCUAAUCUAGGUGCUUUGUUCCGAGUAUGUUUAAGGCAGGCAAGGCUAAGCUCUGAUGUUUGGUAGGCAAGGCGUUGUAUUAGUUACUUUUCUGUUGCUGUGACAAAAUCGCAUGAUCCAAAGCACUUGUGGAAGAAACUGUGAAUUUUGGCUUAUGGUUCCCGAGGAAAAGAGCCCUUCCCCCCCCCCCCCAUGGCCGGGAAGCACUGGAGGAGUGCCAGCAAGUGGUAGGCAAGCUGAGAGUUCACAUUCCAACCGCAAGCAGGAAGAGCAGAGAGAACCGGAAGCCAGCGAGGCUAUGGACUCCCAAAGCCCACACCCAGUGGCAUACCUCCUUCAGCAAGACUAUACUCCCUAAACCUCCUGAAACAACACCGACAACUGGGGACCCGAGCCUUUGGAGGGCAUUUCUUACUCAAACCACCACAGAUGUUUUAAAUGAAUUUUCAUUUUGUAACUUACCAUGGGCCAUCAGAGCACAGCCCCACUGU